rnacentral:lncRNA from 7 species
ACAGGAUUUCCGUCAAAGACACUUCGCACUGCAAAAGCAAGCACGGAUGAAGCAGGUUCUGGAGCUCAUAAUAACAUCCCUGGGCUACAGAAGUUGGAGACCAUGCUUCAAACCAGCCUUUGUGUUAUUAGAAACAGCUUUUCAAGCGCUACAAAGAUAACAUGUGUACAAUAACAAUAUCAACACGGGGCUCAGAAAUGCUUCUGGAAACAGCAAGGAGGAGAAAUUCUGACACAGAAGGAUGGGGGAAGGAGCGAAGUGCACAGGACGCUGCUCGUGGGGAAGCUUCAGCAGAUAAGGAUGCACAGACGGAUAUUGAUAUAUUUUUUUUUUCCUAUCUUGGCUAACUGGGAGCAAAAUGCACACACCAAAGAAAUUGCAAGAGAUUAAAGUCGACAGUAUUUUGUGAGGAUAUUAAUUUCAACAUUUCUUAUGUAAUCAUCUGAAAUAUUCACUGGGGCCGAGGAGGCUUUUGAGCUGCCAAACCUAGGCUCAGCAUUGUAAGCACUUACUUUGCAAACAGCUCUUGCCAAAUUAAUCCUGAGCUAAAAGAAAAAGUAGAUGAACUCCCAAAUUUUUCUAGGAAUUCAUUUCUCAUAAAACACAUCUUUCCCUUAUCUGUGAGUAGUUGCUGCGUUUACAAUACCUUCAAAUCAACUGUUGGUUAAGCUGUCUCUGUUAGAGAAGCCAACAUCAUAUGCCUGUAUUAGCAAAGUCAGUCUAUAUCUGAAUUGUUCAAGCCUUGAGCAUUUUUGUCUCUCGGAGCCUCUGUUUUUGGGGUAUGAGGAAAACAAACAAUUUCAACCUUUGAUUUGUAAACAUGCUUCAAACCGUCAGGAAUGAGGCUACUGUGAUUUUGUUUCUAAUUUCUAUUUGUACAUUGUUUACAUUACUUAUGGAAAGUAUGGUUAAGGCAGAGUGGGUCUUUCUUACACAAAAGCCUGCUUUGGCAGGAAACUUCCAUUUCUUCUGCUGGCCAUUACUAUGCAACGUUACAUCUAUUGCUCUCUGCGCGUUUUGCCUUGUGCCCUUUCUCCUUUGCAUCAGCUUUCAGCCUGUUUUC